rnacentral:lncRNA from 1 species
UGUGGUUUGAAGAGCUCCAGUGUCCAUUGUACUUGUCAGAAGUAUUCACAAAAGAGCUUGAAUGAAAGCCCAGAGUCCCCUUUGAAAUGACACCAAGCAUAAUAAUUUAAGUCAUCAUUCAAUACCAAGAUAUGCACCCGUGUCAAACAUGCACAGAAGGGAUAUCAUACCAAAAUGUUGACUACAGGCAUGUAUCUUUUCAAAAAGUAUAAGCAACCUUUGCCACCUUGAGUGGUACCGAUAUCUCAUCUGGCCCAUGGACUAUAUAUCAAAGGUGGGCUGACCAAACUUAGCUUGAAAAUAUACCUCAUUGCUUACUUGAUCUGUGGUUUGGACCUCAUACCUCUUUGACACAUCCCCAUCUUUUGGUGCCAUCUUGAAGGCAUUCAGCUAAAAUCUGUUAUUAUUUAUUACGUGUGUGGUUGGCAAACAGAUUUUAUAAGCAAACAGCAGCAGCUGGACUUUGCCUGCUGGGCACAGAGACACAAACACUGACAGUGUGUGACACUGUCUGUUUAUCUCUCAGCAGGAACAUGAGCACCACCAAGAUAAGUUCAUUGUUUGUUAUUGGUGCCGUGCUAUGUGAAGCCUGUUUGGUUGUAGCGGGCCCAGUAGGACUGAAACCCAGUCAGACGCUGUCCAGGCAACAAGGGAGCGCUGUUCUGUUUUUCACGGCUUACCAGGGUCAACUAAGAGAGGUGCUGUUCAACCCGAUCAUCUUCAACCAGGUGCUUGUGAACCAGGGUUCUGCCUAUGACAACAACACGGGUGUGUUCACUGCGCCGGUCGCUGGCAUCUACCAGUUUGUGUUCGCUGCCCAGCUCUGCCGUGGAGACCACAACAACAUGUGGAACUUCAUGGUCAACGGGAACAAUAAGCUGGUGUGCCACGCUCAGGUGUCCGGUCUUGACACAACCCUCAACACCUGUUACUUGAUGGAAGAGCUGAAGAAAGGCGACCAGGUGUGGGUGAAACAAUAUGCUAGGAGCUGUGCCUGGGCCAGCACCACCUCCAGGACAAUCACCUUCUCCGGCGUCCUGCUGGCAAGCGAGGGUGCUUCCGUGCUGGGAGAGAAGUACGGCUCCGGCAGCUCCUGUCCGCUGCCCAGCUGGGGAAGUGACAGGAUAUUAUCGUCCAGCUCUGCAGGUCGGACUCACGGUCUGACGUCUGGUGUUGUCAUCGCUCUGCUGCUCAGCUGCUUCCUGUUUGGAUAAAAGAUAAACCACAUCAUGUGAACUGGAUUUUAUUUGAUUUUGUUUUAUUUAAUAUUUCAGGAUGUUUUAUUUCUUCUAUGUAGAUUUUCAGCCCAUCUUCAGGGAGAACGUCAAUAUGUUUGGUGCCCUCCUCUGGUCUAUGAAUGUAAUGAAAGUGGGCACUGUUUUUAAAUCCCACUUUAUUUUCUAGUCUUUCUAACUAUGUUUUUUAUAUGUUUACAUUAGGAUUGUGCUGUUGUCUGUCUUAUUGUACAUUAAAUGAAUUUAGACAC